rnacentral:rRNA from 1 species
AUUGAACGCUGGCGGCAUGCCUUACACAUGCAAGUCGAACGGUAACAGGUCUUCGGAUGCUGACGAGUGGCGAACGGGUGAGUAAUACAUCGGAACGUGCCCGAUCGUGGGGGAUAACGAAGCGAAAGCUUUGCUAAUACCGCAUAAGAUCUACGGAUGAAAGCAGGGGACCGCAAGGCCUUGCGCGAACGGAGCGGCCGAUGGCAGAUUAGGUAGUUGGUGGGAUAAAAGCUUACCAAGCCGACGAUCUGUAGCUGGUCUGAGAGGACGACCAGCCACACUGGUACUGAGACACGGCCCAGACUCCUACGGUAGGCAGCAGUGGGGAAUUUUGGACAAUGGGCGAAAGCCUGAUCCAGCCAUGCCGCGUGCAGGAUGAAGGCCUUCGGGUUGUAAACUGCUUUUGUACGGAACGAAAAGACUCUUUCUAAUAAAGAGGGUCCAUGACGGUACCGUAAGAAUAAGCACCGGCUAACUACGUGCCAGCCGCCGCCGUAA